UACAGAGGUCCCGAGCGUUGUUCGGAUUUACUGGGCGUAAAGGGCGCGUAGGCGGCUUGCUAAGUCGGAUGUGAAAUCUCCGGGCUAACCCGGAAAGUGCGUCCGAAACUGGCAGGCUGGAGUCCGGGAGGGGGAAUCGGAAUAUAGGGUGUAGCGGUGAAAUGCGUUGAUAUCCUAUAGAACACCGGAGGCGAAGGCGGAUUCCUUGAACGGUACUGACGCUGAGGCGCGAAAGUCGGGGGAGCAAACA
rnacentral:rRNA from 1 species